rnacentral:tRNA from 1 species
GUUAGAGUGGCAGAGCCCGGCAAAUGCAAAAGACCUAAACCCUUUGAACAGAGGUUCAAUUCCUCUCCCUAACU